rnacentral:rRNA from 1 species
GACGAACGCUGGCGGCGUGCUUAACACAUGCAAGUCGAACGGAAAGGCCCUGCUUGCAGGGUACUCGAGUGGCGAACGGGUGAGUAACACGUGGGUGAUCUGCCCUGCACUUCGGGAUAAGCCUGGGAAACUGGGUCUAAUACCGGAUAGGAGCCAUUUUUAGUGUGAUGGUUGGAAAGUUUUUUCGGUGUAGGAUGGGCUCGCGGCCUAUCAGCUUGUUGGUGGGGUAAUGGCCUACCAAGGCGGCGACGGGUAGCCGGCCUGAGAGGGUGGACGGCCACAUUGGGACUGAGAUACGGCCCAGACUCCUACGGGAGGCAGCAGUGGGGAAUAUUGCACAAUGGGCGCAAGCCUGAUGCAGCGACGCCGCGUGGGGGAUGACGGCCUUCGGGUUGUAAACUCCUUUCGCUAGGGACGAAGCUUUUUGUGACGGUACCUGGAUAAGAAGCACCGGCUAACUACGUG